rnacentral:rRNA from 1 species
CCAGGCCUUGACAUCCAAUGAACUUUCUAGAGAUAGAUUGGUGCCUUCGGGAACAUUGAGACAGGUGCUUGCAUGGCUGUCGUCAGCUCGUGUCGUGAGAUGUUGGGUUAAGUCCCGUAACGAGCGCAACCCUUGUCCUUAGUUACCAGCACGUAAUGGUGGGCNCUCUAAGGAGACUGCCGGUGNCAAACCGGAGGAAGGUGGGGAUGACGUCAAGUCAUCAUGACCCUUACGGCCUGGGCUACACACGUUCUACAAUGCUCGGUACAGAGGGUUGCCAAGCCGCGAGGUGGAGCUAAUCCCAGAAAACCCAUCGUAGUCCGGAUCGCAGUCUGCAACUCUCCUGCUUGAAGUCUCACUCGCUAGUA